CCUGAACGCUGGCGGCGUGGCUAAGACAUGCAAGUCGUACGGUGUAGCAAUACACAGUGGCGAACGGGUGAGUAAUGAAUCGCUAAUGUGCCCCGGACUCAGGGAUAGCUAUCCGAAAGGGUAGGUAAUACCUGAUGACAUAACCUUGUCGCAUGGCAGGGUUCUCAAAGGUCCGCCGGUCUGGGAGCAGGCGAUUUCGUAUCAGCUAGUUGGUGAGGAACGGCUCACCAAGGCGACGACGCGUAGCCGGACUGAGAGGUUGGCCGGCCACAUUGGGACUGAGACACUGCCCAGACUCCUACGGGGGGCUGCAGUAACGAAUCUUCCGCAAUGCACGAAAGUAGUGACGGAGCGACGCCG
rnacentral:rRNA from 1 species